UCUGAUCCGAAGUCAGACGCCUUGUCCAUUAGGCCACGUGGUCUGAAAAAAGUGCAAAUUAACCAAAUUAACCAAAUUUCACUUACCCCCCAUUUUUGACCUUCUCAUACAAUAAAUUGCAAGUUCAAACGACUGGCAGAGGAGUUUGGUCAUGAUUAUGAUGAGGAUGUCUUUGACUAGUAUGGGGACUCACUCCAAGGUAGAUUUACUUUUUCAUGAAAGCUUUUUGCAAAGGCUACACUGAGCAUGUAAAGGUCACUUUUAAGGAUGUGAUAUGCUGAUAGUUCUUUGUGUUUUCUUUCAGUGUCCUUUAGUUAAAAUUGUGAUGAGGAAGUCUUUGGCCAGUAUGGGGAUUGAACCCAUGACCUUGGCGUUAUUAGCACCACGCUCUGACCAUCUGAGCUAACCGGCCUGGAUGUCUUGCUGGUCAUAGCCCAUUUUGAUGGAGUAGGGAGUCAAGGUGAACCCUAAAUGUACACUCACCGGCCACUUUAUUAGGUACACCUGUCCAACUGCUCGUUAACACUUAAUUUCUAAUCAGCCAAUCACAUGGCGGCAACUUAGUGCAUUUAGGCAUGUAGACAUGGUCAAGACAAUCUCCUGCAGUUCAAACCGAGCAUCAGUAUGGGGAAGAAAGGUGAUUUGAGUGACUUUGAACGUGGCAUGGUUGUUGGUGCCAGAAGGGCUGGUCUGAGUAUUUCAGAAACUGCUGAUCUACUGGGAUUUUCACACACAACCAUCUCUAGGGUUUACAGAGAAUGGUCCGAAAAAGAAAAAAUAUCCAGUGAGCGGCAGUUCUGUGGGCGGAAAUGCCUUGUUGAUGCCAGAGGUCAGAGGAGAAUGGCCAUACUGGUUUGAGCUGAUAGAAAGGCAACAGUGACUCAAAUAACCACCCGUUACAACCAAGGUAGGCAGAAGAACAUCUCUGAACGCACAGUACGUCGAACUUUGAGGCAGAUGGUCUACAGCAGCAGAAGACCACGCCGGGUGCCACUCCUUUCAGCUAAGAACAGGAAACUGAGGCUACAAUUUGCACAAGCUCAUCGAAAUUGGACAAUAGAAGAUUGAAAAAACGUUGCCUGGUCUAAUGAGUCUCGAUUUCUGCUGCGACAUUCGGAUGGUAGGGUCAGAAUUUGGCGUCAACAACAUGAAAGCAUGGAUCCAUCCUGCCUUGUAUCAACGGUUCAGGCUGGUGGUGGUGGUGUCAUGGUGUGGGGAAUAUUUUCUUGGCACUCUUUGGGCCCCUUGGUACCAAUUGAGCAUCGUUGCAACGCCACAGCCUACCUGAGUAUUGUUGCUGACCAUGUCCAUCCCUUUAUGACCACAAUGUACCCAACUUCUGAUGGCUACUUUCAGCAGGAUAAUGCGCCAUGUCAUAAAGCUGGAAUCAUCUCAGACUGGUUUCUUGAACAUGACAAUGAGUUCACUGUACUCAAAUGGCCUCCACAGUCACCAGAUCUCAAUCCAAUAGAGCAUCUUUGGGAUGUGGUGGAACGGAAGAUUCGCAUCAUGGAUGUGCAGCCGACAAAUCUGCGGCAACUGUGUGAUGCCAUCAUGUCAAUAUGGACCAAGCUCUCUGAGGAAUGCUUCCAGCACCUUGUUGAAUCUAUGCCACGAAGAAUUGAGGCAGUUCUGAAGGCAAAAGGGGGUCCAACCCGUUACUAGCAUGGCGUACCUAAUAAAGUGGCCGGUGAGUGUAUAGUGGGAAAGGAUUAUCUUUGCUACUAAAGGCAGGGUUUCAACCACGAAGGGACUUGAACCCUCAAUCUUCUGAUCCGAAGUCAGACGCCUUAUCCAUUAGGCCACGUGGUCUGAAAAAAGUGCAAAUGUCACAAAUUUCACUUACCCCCCAUUUUUGACCUUUUCAUACAAUAAAAUGCGAGUUCAAACGACUGGCAGAGGAGUUUGGUAAUGAUUAUGAUGAGGAUGUCUUUGACUAGUUUGGGGACUAACUCCAAGGUAGAUUUACUUUUACAUGAAAACUUUUUGCACAGGCUACACUGAGCAUGUAAAGGUCACUUUUAAGGUUUUGAUAUGCUGAUAGUUCUUUGUGUUUUCUUUCAGUCUGCUUUCGUUACAAUUGUGAUGGGGAAGUCUUUGGCCAGUAUGGGGAUUGAACCCAUGACCUUGGCGUUAUUAGCACCACGCUCUGACCAUCUGAGCUAACCGGCCUGGAUGUCUUGCUGGUCAUAGCCCAUUUUGAUGGAGUAGGGAGUCAAGGUGAACCCUAAAUGUAUAGUGGGAAAGGAUUAUCUUUGCUACUAAAGGCAGGGUUUCAACCACGAAGGGACUUGAACCCUCAAUCUUCUGAUCCGAAGUCAGACGCCUUAUCCAUUAGGCCACGUGGUCUGAAAAAAGUGCAAAUGUCACAAAUUUCACUUACCCCCCAUUUUUGACCUUUUCAUACAAUAAAAUGCAAGUUCAAACGACUGGAAGAGGAGUUUGGUAAUGAUUAUGAUGAGGAUGUCUUUGACUAGUUUGGGGACUAACUCCAAGGUAGAUUUACUUUUACAUGAAAACUUUUUGCCCAGGCGACACUGAGCAUGUAAAGGUGACUUUUAAGGUUUUGAUAUGCUGAUAGUUCUUUGUGUUUUCUUUCAGUCUGCUUUCGUUACAAUUGUGAUGGGGAAGUCUUUGGCCAGUAUGGGGAUUGAACCCAUGACCUUAGCAUUAUUAGCACCAUGCUCUGACCAUCUGAGCUAACCGGCCUGCAUGUCUUGGUGGUCAUAGCCCAUUUUGAUGGAGUAGGGAGUCAAGGUGAACCCUAAAUGUAUAGUGGGAAAGGAUUAUCUUUGCUACUAAAGGCAGGGUUUCAACCACGAAGGGACUUGAACCCUCAAUCUUCUGAUCCGAAGUCAGACGCCUUGUCCAUUAGGCCACGUGGUCUGAAAAAAGUGCAAAUUAACCAAAUUAACCAAAUUUCACUUACCCCCCAUUUUUGACCUUCUCAUACAAUAAAUUGCAAGUUCAAACGACUGGCAGAGGAGUUUGGUAAUGAUUAUGAUGAGGAUGUCUUUGACUAGUAUGGGGACUCACUCCAAGGUAGAUUUACUUUUUCAUGAAAGCUUUUUGCAAAGGCUACACUGAGCAUGUAAAGGUCACUUUUAAGGAUGUGAUAUGCUGAUAGUUCUUUGUGUUUUCUUUCAGUGUCCUUUAGUUAAAAUUGUGAUGAGGAAGUCUUUGGCCAGUAUGGGGAUUGAACCCAUGACAUUGGCGUUAUUAGCACCACGCUCUGACCAUCUGAGCUAACCGGCCUGGAUGUCUUGCUGGUCAUAGCCCAUUUUGAUGGAGUAGGGAGUCAAGGUGAACCCUAAAUGUACACUCACCGGCCACUUUAUUAGGUACACCUGUCCAACUGCUCGUUAACACUUAAUUUCUAAUCAACCAAUCACAUGGCGGCAACUUAGUGCAUUUAGGCAUGUAGACAUGGUCAAGACAAUCUCCUGCAGUUCAAACCGAGCAUCAGUAUGGGGAAGAAAGGUGAUUUGAGUGACUUUGAACGUGGCAUGGUUGUUGGUGCCAGAAGGGCUGGUCUGAGUAUUUCAGAAACUGCUGAUCUACUGGGAUUUUCACACACAACCAUCUCUAGGGUUUACAGAGAAUGGUCCGAAAAAGAAAAAAUAUCCAGUGAGCGGCAGUUCUGUGGGCGGAAAUGCCUUGUUGAUGCCAGAGGUCAGAGGAGAAUGGCCAUACUGGUUUGAGCUGAUAGAAAGGCAACAGUGACUCAAAUAACCACCCGUUACAACCAAGGUAGGCAGAAGAACAUCUCUGAACGCACAGUACGUCGAACUUUGAGGCAGAUGGUCUACAGCAGCAGAAGACCACGCCGGGUGCCACUCCUUUCAGCUAAGAACAGGAAACUGAGGCUACAAUUUGCACAAGCUCAUCGAAAUUGGACAAUAGAAGAUUGAAAAAACGUUGCCUGGUCUAAUGAGUCUCGAUUUCUGCUGCGACAUUCGGAUGGUAGGGUCAGAAUUUGGCGUCAACAACAUGAAAGCAUGGAUCCAUCCUGCCUUGUAUCAACGGUUCAGGCUGGUGGUGGUGGUGUCAUGGUGUGGGGAAUAUUUUCUUGGCACUCUUUGGGCCCCUUGGUACCAAUUGAGCAUCGUUGCAACGCCACAGCCUACCUGAGUAUUGUUGCUGACCAUGUCCAUCCCUUUAUGACCACAAUGUACCCAACUUCUGAUGGCUACUUUCAGCAGGAUAAUGCGCCAUGUCAUAAAGCUGGAAUCAUCUCAGACUGGUUUCUUGAACAUGACAAUGAGUUCACUGUACUCAAAUGGCCUCCACAGUCACCAGAUCUCAAUCCAAUAGAGCAUCUUUGGGAUGUGGUGGAACGGGAGAUUCGCAUCAUGGAUGUGCAGCCGACAAAUCUGCGGCAACUGUGUGAUGCCAUCAUGUCAAUAUGGACCAAGCUCUCUGAGGAAUGCUUCCAGCACCUUGUUGAAUCUAUGCCACGAAGAAUUGAGGCAGUUCUGAAGGCAAAAGGGGGUCCAACCCGUUACUAGCAUGGCGUACCUAAUAAAGUGGCCGGUGAGUGUAUAGUGGGAAAGGAUUAUCUUUGCUACUAAAGGCAGGGUUUCAACCACGAAGGGACUUGAACCCUCAAUCUUCUGAUCCGAAGUCAGACGCCUUAUCCAUUAGGCCACGUGGUCUGAAAAAAGUGCAAAUGUCACAAAUUUCACUUACCCCCCAUUUUUGACCUUUUCAUACAAUAAAAUGCAAGUUCAAACCACUGGCAGAGGAGUUUGGUAAUGAUUAUGAUGAGGAUGUCUUUGACUAGUUUGGGGACUAACUCCAAGGUAGAUUUACUUUUACAUGAAAACUUUUUGCACAGGCUACACUGAGCAUGUAAAGGUCACUUUUAAGGUUUUGAUAUGCUGAUAGUUCUUUGUGUUUUCUUUCAGUCUGCUUUCGUUACAAUUGUGAUGGGGAAGUCUUUGGCCAGUAUGGGGAUUGAACCCAUGACCUUGGCGUUAUUAGCACCACGCUCUGACCAUCUGAGCUAACCGGCCUGGAUGUCUUGGAGGUCAUAGCCCAUUUUGAUGGAGUAGGGAGUCAAGGUGAACCCUAAAUGUAUAGUGGGAAAGGAUUAUCUUUGCUACUAAAGGCAGGGUUUCAACCACGAAGGGACUUGAACCCUCAAUCUUCUGAUCCGAGAUCAGACGCCUUAUCCAUUAGGCCACGUGGUCCGAAAAAAGUGCAAAUGUCACAAAUUUCACUUACCCCCCAUUUUUGACCUUUUCAUACAAUAAAAUGCAAGUUCAAACGACUGGCAGAGGAGUUUGGUAAUGAUUAUGAUGAGGAUGUCUUUGACUAGUUUGGGGACUAACUCCAAGGUAGAUUUACUUUUACAUGAAAACUUUUUGCCCAGGCGACACUGAGCAUGUAAAGGUGACUUUUAAGGUUUUGAUAUGCUGUUAGUUCUUUGUGUUUUCUUUCAGUCUGCUUUCGUUACAAUUGUGAUGGGGAAGUCUUUGGCCAGUAUGGGGAUUGAACCCAUGACCUUGGCGUUAUUAGCAACACGCUCUGACCAUCUGAGCUAACCGGCCUGGAUGUCUUGCUGGUCAUAGCCCAUUUUGAUGGAGUAGGGAGUCAAGGUGAACCCUAAAUGUAUAGUGGGAAAGGAUUAUCUUUGCUACUAAAGGCAGGGUUUCAACCACGAAGGGACUUGAACCCUCAAUCUUCUGAUCCGAAGUCAGACGCCUUGUCCAUUAGGCCACGUGGUCUGAAAAAAGUGCAAAUUAACCAAAUUAACCAAAUUUCACUUACCCCCCAUUUUUGACCUUCUCAUACAAUAAAUUGCAAGUUCAAACGACUGGCAGAGGAGUUUGGUAAUGAUUAUGAUGAGGAUGUCUUUGACUAGUAUGGGGACUCACUCCAAGGUAGAUUUACUUUUUCAUGAAAGCUUUUUGCAAAGGCUACACUGAGCAUGUAAAGGUCACUUUUAAGGAUGUGAUAUGCUGAUAGUUCUUUGUGUUUUCUUUCAGUGUCCUUUAGUUAAAAUUGUGAUGAGGAAGUCUUUGGCCAGUAUGGGGAUUGAACCCAUGACCUUGGCGUUAUUAGCACCACGCUCUGACCAUCUGAGCUAACCGGCCUGGAUGUCUUGCUGGUCAUAGCCCAUUUUGAUGGAGUAGGGAGUCAAGGUGAACCCUAAAUGUACACUCACCGGUCACUUUAUUAGGUACACCUGUCCAACUGCUCGUUAACACUUAAUUUCUAAUCAACCAAUCACAUGGCGGCAACUUAGUGCAUUUAGGCAUGUAGACAUGGUCAAGACAAUCUCCUGCAGUUCAAACCGAGCAUCAGUAUGGGGAAGAAAGGUGAUUUGAGUGACUUUGAACGUGGCAUGGUUGUUGGUGCCAGAAGGGCUGGUCUGAGUAUUUCAGAAACUGCUGAUCUACUGGGAUUUUCACACACAACCAUCUCUAGGGUUUACAGAGAAUGGUCCGAAAAAGAAAAAAUAUCCAGUGAGCGGCAGUUCUGUGGGCGGAAAUGCCUUGUUGAUGCCAGAGGUCAGAGGAGAAUGGCCAUACUGGUUUGAGCUGAUAGAAAGGCAACAGUGACUCAAAUAACCACCCGUUACAACCAAGGUAGGCAGAAGAACAUCUCUGAACGCACAGUACGUCGAACUUUGAGGCAGAUGGUCUACAGCAGCAGAAGACCACGCCGGGUGCCACUCCUUUCAGCUAAGAACAGGAAACUGAGGCUACAAUUUGCACAAGCUCAUCGAAAUUGGACAAUAGAAGAUUGAAAAAACGUUGCCUGGUCUAAUGAGUCUCGAUUUCUGCUGCGACAUUCGGAUGGUAGGGUCAGAAUUUGGCGUCAACAACAUGAAAGCAUGGAUCCAUCCUGCCUUGUAUCAACGGUUCAGGCUGGUGGUGGUGGUGUCAUGGUGUGGGGAAUAUUUUCUUGGCACUCUUUGGGCCCCUUGGUACCAAUUGAGCAUCGUUGCAACGCCACAGCCUACCUGAGUAUUGUUGCUGACCAUGUCCAUCCCUUUAUGACCACAAUGUACCCAACUUCUGAUGGCUACUUUCAGCAGGAUAAUGCGCCAUGUCAUAAAGCUGGAAUCAUCUCAGACUGGUUUCUUGAACAUGACAAUGAGUUCACUGUACUCAAAUGGCCUCCACAGUCACCAGAUCUCAAUCCAAUAGAGCAUCUUUGGGAUGUGGUGGAACGGGAGAUUCGCAUCAUGGAUGUGCAGCCGACAAAUCUGCGGCAACUGUGUGAUGCCAUCAUGUCAAUAUGGACCAAGCUCUCUGAGGAAUGCUUCCAGCACCUUGUUGAAUCUAUGCCACGAAGAAUUGAGGCAGUUCUGAAGGCAAAAGGGGGUCCAACCCGUUACUAGCAUGGCGUACCUAAUAAAGUGGCCGGUGAGUGUAUAGUGGGAAAGGAUUAUCUUUGCUACUAAAGGCAGGGUUUCAACCACGAAGGGACUUGAACCCUCAAUCUUCUGAUCCGAAGUCAGACGCCUUAUCCAUUAGGCCACGUGGUCUG
rnacentral:lncRNA from 1 species